rnacentral:sRNA from 1 species
UAAAUAUGCUAAAAUUAUUUAUCUAGGCUUUUAUCUGGAAUAUCACUUAUUUAAUUUAAAAAUUAAAUGAGCUUUUUUAAAUCACUAUGAUCCAGUAGAGGAUUUGUGUGUGUGUGUGAGUGUGUGUGUGUGUGUGUGUGUGUGUGUGGUGCUGAGUAUUGAACCCAGGGCUUCUGUGCAUGCAAAGCAACUGAGCUUUAUCCCCAGCCCCAGUGGAGGAAUUUUAA